UGGGGAAUAUUGCACAAUGGGCGGAAGCCUGAUGCAGCGACGCCGCGUGGGGGAUGAAGGCCUUCGGGUUGUAAACUCCUUUCGACAGGGACGAAGCUUUUGUGACGGUACCUGUAUAAGAAGCACCGGCUAACUACGUGCCAGCAGCCGCGGUAAUACGUAGGGUGCGAGCGUUGUCCGGAAUUACUGGGCGUAAAGAGCUCGUAGGUGGUUUGUCGCGUCGUCUGUGAAAUUCCGGGGCUUAACUCCGGGCGUGCAGGCGAUACGGGCUGACUUGAGUGCUGUAGGGGAGACUGGAAUUCCUGGUGUAGCGGUGAAAUGCGCAGAUAUCAGGAGGAACACCGAUGGCGAAGGCAGGUCUCUGGGCAGUAACUGACGCUGAGGAGCGAAAGCAUGGGUAGCGAACAGGAUUAGAUACCCUGGUAGUCCAUGCCGUAAACGGUGGGCGCUAGGUGUAGGGGGCUUCCACGUCUUCUGUGCCGUAGCUAACGCAUUAAGCGCCCCGUCUGGGGAGUACGGCCGCAAGGCU
rnacentral:rRNA from 1 species